rnacentral:rRNA from 1 species
UACGGGGGGGGCAAGCGUUGUUCGGAAUUACUGGGCGUAAAGGGCUCGUAGGCGGCCAACUAAGUCAGACGUGAAAUCCCUCGGCUUAACCGGGGAACUGCGUCUGAUACUGGAUGGCUUGAGGUUGGGAGAGGGAUGCGGAAUUCCAGGUGUAGCGGUGAGAUGCGUAGAUAUCUGGAGGAACACCGGUGGCGAAGGCGGCAUCCUGGACCAAUUCUGACGCUGAGGAGCGAAAGCCAGGGGAGCAAACGGG